rnacentral:rRNA from 1 species
CGGAACAAUUUUUACUUUAGUGGCGGACGGGUGAGUAACGCGUGGGUAACCUGCCUUAUACAGGGGGAUAACACUUAGAAAUAGGUGCUAAGACCGCAUAAGCGCCCAGGGCCGCAUGGCCCAGGGUGAAAAACUCCGGUGGUAUAAGAUGGGCCCGCGUCUGAUUAGCCAGUUGGCAGGGUAACGGCCUACCAAAGCGACGAUCAGUAGCCGGCCUGAGAGGGUGGACGGCCACAUUGGGACUGAGACACGGCCCAAACUCCUACGGGAGGCAGCAG